GUGUCAGCAGCCGCGGUAAGACGAACCGUGCGAACGUUGUCCGGAAUCACUGGGCUUAAAGGGCGCGUAGGCGGGCUCACAAGUCCGGGGUGAAAGCCCCCAGCUCAACUGGGGAAGCGCCUUGGAUACUGUGGGCCUCGAGGGAGGUAGGGGCGUGCGGAACUUCCGGUGGAGCGGUGAAAUGCGUAGAUAUCGGAAGGAACACCGGUGGCGAAAGCGGCGCGCUGGACCUCUUCUGACGCUGAGGCGCGAAAGCCAGGGGAGCAAACGGGAUUAGAUACCCCAGUAGUCC
rnacentral:rRNA from 1 species